rnacentral:rRNA from 1 species
GCAAGUCGAGCGAACAGAUGAGAAGCUUGCUUCUCUGAUGUUAGCGGCGGACGGGUGAGUAACACGUGGGUAACCUACCUAUAAGACUGGGAUAACUCCGGGAAACCGGGGCUAAUACCGGAUAAUAUAUUGAACCGCAUGGUUCAAUGUUGAAAGACGGUUUCGGCUGUCACUUAUAGAUGGACCCGCGCCGUAUUAGCUAGUUGGUAAGGUAACGGCUUACCAAGGCAACGAUACGUAGCCGACCUGAGAGGGUGAUCGGCCACACUGGAACUGAGACACGGUCCAGACUCCUACGGGAGGCAGCAGUAGGGAAUCUUCCGCAAUGGGCGAAAGCCUGACGGAGCAACGCCGCGUGAGUGAUGAAGGUCUUAGGAUCGUAAAACUCUGUUGUUAGGGAAGAACAAAUUUGUUAGUAACUGAACAAGUCUUGACGGUACCUAACCAGAAAGCCACGGCUAACUACGUGCCAGCAGCCGCGGUAAUACGUAGGUGGCAAGCGUUAUCCGGAAUUAUUGGGCGUAAAGCGCGCGUAGGCGGUUUCUUAAGUCUGAUGUGAAAGCCCACGGCUCAACCGUGGAGGGUCAUUGGAAACUGGGGAACUUGAGUGCAGAAGAGGAGAGUGGAAUUCCAUGUGUAGCGGUGAAAUGCGCAGAGAUAUGGAGGAACACCAGUGGCGAAGGCGGCUCUCUGGUCUGUAACUGACGCUGAUGUGCGAAAGCGUGGGGAUCAAACAGGAUUAGAUACCCUGGUAGUCCACGCCGUAAACGAUGAGUGCUAAGUGUUAGGGGUUUUCCGCCCCUUUAGUGCUGCAGCUAACGCAUUAAGCACUCCGCCUGGGGAGUACGACCGCAAGGUUGAAACUCAAAGGAAUUUGACGGGGACCCGCACAAAGCGGUGGAGCAUGUGUUUUAAUUCGAAGCAACGCGAAGAACCUUUACCAAAUCUUGACAUCCUUUGAACGCUCUAGAGAUAGAGUUUUCCCCUUCGGGGGACAAGUGACAG